GAUACACUAUCAUUGCAAGAGAAGGAGCGAAGGUUGUCCUUCGUAGCGACAGAGGCGUUCAGUACUCACGCAAUGUCCAAGAUGUAAAGAAAGUUCCAGAUUGUCUGAAGGAACCCGUAGAUGGCACGAUGAUUGAUGAAAGUACAAAUGAUUCGUGUAAAACAGAUGUGGAUCUCGAUGGAAGCUUACCUGCAAUCGAAGUGAACUCUGGAGCAGUUGAAGAGGAGGAGCGGCCAAGGAGGACAAUUAAGAAACCAAAUAGGUUCAAGGAUAUGGUGCUUUACUAUAUCUUUUAAAAUAAUUACAGAUUCAUCCUACGACGACACUUAUUGGAUUCCGGAUUUGAGCAAGCCUAUAGCUACUGAAUGGAGGAGUAUGAAACAAUGUAGUGAUACUAAUGGAAAUGGUUCAUCGUACGGCAACAACUAUUCGAUCCUGGGUUGGAGCUCGUCUGAAACAUUCAAAUGAUUUUUAUCGAUAUGAUUCAAAAUAUAAGAAUUACGACAUUGUAAUAGAAAAAAAAAGAACAGAAUAUAUGAUUGCAAUACAAAAUAAACAAAAUGGAGCUAGUAAUUAGAACACUUUAUAAAUUUUGAACAAGAGUAGAGGUGAAGAGUAUUGUAGAAUAAAUGAGCUGUGCAAGGUAAUACAAUAGUAAUAAAAUUUUGUAAAAACAAGACCUAAUUGAAUUUUAUGUUGGAAAUGUGCAUAAAAGAAAAGCAAGU